CCUACGGGAGGCAGCAGUGAGGCAUAUUGGUCAAUGGACGCAAGUCUGAACCAGCCCUGCCGCGUGCAGGAAGACGGCUCUAUGAGUUGUAAACUGCUUUUGUACGAGGGUAAACGCAGAUACGUGUAUAUGUCUGAAAGUAUCGUACGAAUAAGGAUCGGCUAACUCCGUGCCCGCAGCCGCGGUAAUACGGAGGAUUCAAGCGUUAUCCGGAUUUAUUGGGUUUAAAGGGUGCGUAGGCGGUCGGAUAAGUUAGAGGUGAAAUCCCGAGGCUCAACUUCGGAAUUGCCUCUGAUACUGUUCGGCUAUAGAGUAGUUGCGGUAGGCGGAAUGUAUGGUGUAGCGGUGAAAUGCUUAGAGAUCAUACAGAACACCGAUUGCGAAGGCAGCUUACCAAGCUACUUCGGACGUUGAGGCACGAAAGCGUGGGGAGCAAACAGGAUUAGAUACCCGAGUAGUC
rnacentral:rRNA from 1 species